rnacentral:rRNA from 1 species
CACGUAAGUUGCAAGCGUUGUUCGGAAUUAUUGGGCGUAAAGGGCAUGUAGGCGGUUAUGUAAGCUUGGUGUGAAAUCCUGGGGCUUAACUCCAGAAUUGCAUUGAGAACUGUAUAACUAGAGUCACUGAGGGGGAAUCAGAAUUCCAAGUGUAGGGGUGAAAUCUGUAGAUAUUUGGAAGAAUACCAAUGGCGAAGGCAGAUUUCCAGCAGAUGACUGACGCUGAGGUGCGAAGGUGCGGGGAGCAAACAGGAUUAGAUACCCUGGUAGUCCGCACAGUCAACGAUGUACACUAGGUGUCUGAGCAAGAGCUUGGGUGCCAAAGUAAACGCGAUAAGUGUACCGCCUGGGGAGUAUGCCCGCAAGGGUGAA